UCUUUUAAUUGAAGGCUCGUAUGAAUGGUCGGACAAAAAGUAAGCUGUCUUCAACUGUAAAAAUUGAACUUGACUUUUAAGUGAAAAGGCUUAAAUAAUACAAAGUGACGAUAAGACCCUAUAAAGCUUUACAGUGUAAAUUUUUCACUAUAAAUUAUAAAAAUCGUAAAACUUAGUUUAAAAUAAAACUGUUUCGUUGGGGCGACGAAAAUAUAACAAAAUAACUGUUUUUACUCAAGUAAAACAAAUAUACUUGGUUUUAAUUAAUGAUCCUUUAUUAAAGAUUAAAAGAUUAAGUUACUUUAGGGAUAACAGCGUAAUCUUCUUUGAGAGUUCACAUCGACAAGAAGGCUUGCGACCUCGAUGUUGAAUUAAGGUUCCUGCAUGGUGUAGCAGCUAUGAGUCGGAGGUCUGUUCGACCUUUAAAUCCUUACAUGAUUU
rnacentral:rRNA from 1 species